UUGUUUUUUGUAUGGAGUGAGUCAUCUCGCUUUCUACCUAUCUCUGCUGAGAGUUGCACAUGCGUUACAGUGAAUAGUGGGAGGCGACAGGUGAACAACAUACCAAAUGGCGGUGGCUGAUUUAACACCCUCUCGUCUCAAAAUAUCAAAGGUCUGGGAGCAUUUCACUCUCGACGCACUGAAGAAAAAGAUAACCUGCAAGUUUUGUAAAGCUGACCUCACGUAUCACGGGAGCAAGUCUGUAAUGCAUGAGCAUUUGAAGAGGAGGCAUGUUUGAGAUCAGGACAAUGUAGACUCGCCUUGUCUUACUAAGAAGACUAAAGGUACCAUGGAUGGUUUUCUGCAAAAGAAGCAGACGUGUACUCCACAGCAAGCAACUGCCCUCAAAACUCAAUAUUAAACAUGCUGGUCAAUGACAUGAGGCCACUCUCCAUGGUUGAUGGUGAAGGGUUUCAACAAAAGAUUCACCAGUUCAAACCCGAAUACACCCUGCCAUCCUGAACCCUUUUCACCCACUUGAUGGAGAAGAAAUAUGAGACAGCCUUUCUGAAGGUGAAGGAGAUCAUAAAAGAGGUCAACAGCUCCCUCACAUUGACAGCUGAUGUGUGGACCAGUCAUGGAGUGUCCUGCCAUUUCAUCACUGAGGAUUUAUCUUUUGUAUCAGUUGUAGCCUAAACAGCAGUAAAGUUUAUUAAAAGACAUUUUUUUAU